AUGUGCUUGAGCAGGCAUUUGGACCUAGGAUGGCGGGUGCAACAUCUCGGGGAGAACCAAGUCGUCGUAAUGGCAUCUCUAGCCAGAACAGUUCAGUUGGUGCACGUCGACGUGGUGGCUCGACAAGUGUGGGCAACAGCAGUAGGGUCCCCCUUGAAGUGGAGCCUGAUGGCUACAAUUCUGGGGUUGAUGAAAAGAAGCUAUAUUCUGAUGUUAUUUGGAAUUUACGACGGGCACCUCGGACUGAAAAUCAAGAUGAGACUCACAAUGCAGUCCGUGUGGAUGAUGACGCGAUGGGUGAGGACAAAGACCUUGCAGCUGUUGAAUGGGACCCUUUGA
rnacentral:rRNA from 1 species